UACGGAGGGUGCGAGCGUUGUCCGGAAUCACUGGGCGUAAAGGGCGCGUAGGCGGCGCGAGCAGUCGGCGGUGAAAGCCCGGAGCUCAACUCCGGGUCGGCCGUCGAUACUCUCGUGCUUGAGCACUGUAGAGGCAGGUGGAAUUCCGGGUGUAGCGGUGGAAUGCGUAGAGAUCCGGAAGAACACCGGUGGCGAAGGCGGGUCUCUGGACAGUUCCUGACGCUGAGGCACGAAGGUCAGGGGAGCAAACGGG
rnacentral:rRNA from 1 species